AUCUCGGAAGCUAAGCAGGGUCAGGCCUGGUUAGCACUUGGAUGGAAGAAAACUGUCUAUUCAUAUGUUCUGUCCACUUUUUAUUCAAUUGUUCCUUUUCUUUUUGUUUAACUGUAUGAGGUCUUCAUAGAUGUUUGA
rnacentral:miRNA from 1 species